GACGAACGCUGGCGGCGUGCCUAAUACAUGCAAGUCGAACGCUGAAGGAGGAGCUUGCUCUUCUGGAUGAGUUGCGAACGGGUGAGUAACGCGUAGGUAACCUGCCUGGUAGCGGGGGAUAACUCUUGGAAACGAUAGCUAAUACCGCAUAACAGUAGAUGUUGCAUGACAUUCACUUAAAAGGUGCAAUUGCAUCACUACCAGAUGGACCUGCGUUGUAUUAGCUAGUUGGUGGGGUAACGGCUCACCAAGGCGACGAUGCAUAGCCGACCUGAGAGGGUGAUCGGCCACACUGGAACUGAGACACGGCCCAGACUCCUACGGGAGGCAGCAGUAGGGAAUCUUCGGCAAUGGACGAAAGUCUGACGGAGCAACGCCGCGUGAGUGAAGAAGGUUUUCGGAUCGUAAAACUCUGUUAUAAGGGAAGAACAGGUGUGGAAGUGAAAGUUCCCAUCUUGACGGUACCUUACCAGAAAGGGACGGCUAACUACGUG
rnacentral:rRNA from 1 species